AAAAGUAAACCAUGAGUUUUUUCAUACAGUAAAGAAUUAAAAGCAUGUAUAUUCACACAACAUGACAUUUACAAAAAAAAAUAUUUCCAAAGAUACUUUAAAAAAACAGAAGAGGCAGGUGAAUAUAAAAAAAAAGGGGGUAGGGGGAAUGGGGCAAACAAGAGACAUUAUUUCAAAGUAGCUGCCAAAAAAGAUCAUCUUUCUUUACACGUCAAGGAGAAGGAAAGGAGCUCUGACACGGCACCGUUACUUUCUAUGAAGGAAGCAGAAUUCCUUGACUCGUGUGUGUACAACUAAAACAGCUUCCACUCUCAGUCACAGCUUUGCAUUGUAUCAAUCAUGAGAUUUGUGCACAGAUUAAGGCAUAAUAAGGCCAAAGAAGUUUAAUUAGGAUUACUAAACCUGGGAUCCAGUUAUAAACCUCUUGAACUUUGGCUUAAGUCAGCAAAACACUUAAGAGUUCAGCAAAAAUUCAGCUGCUGAAUUAGGACCUUCAUCAGACUCGACUAGCUGAUAUGCAUGACUGGAAUUUUUUUUUUCUUUUAAUAAACACUAGUACAUAGAAAAAAGCAGACAGAAGGAAGGUGUUUUGGUAACUACGUGUCAUUUCCUUGCAGCAGAGGAUCUCAAAUUCCCUUAUAAAUGAUAACAGUAAAAGAAAGUGGUCUUUCAAUUUCAGACACUGAUAAACUGAAAACCAGAUUGCUUAACACUAAAAGAUUUAAAGCAGGGCAUACAAGGCAUUCUGCCUAGGCAUCAAAAUUGAUUUCAGGCAAGGAAUUUCUUACUAAAUUUAACUACUACCAUGUAAUCGGCACUUUUCUGUGCAGCUGGGGGUUACAUGGAAAUAAAGAGUUCUUUUAUAAAAUCAUGGCCCUAUAUCCUACGAACUCACAUUUUUUUGUUCCAAGUUCACCAGCUUGUGAAAGAUACUAUAUUGGUGGGGGAAGAAAAAAAAAUAAUCCGAGUUUCUGUUUCAGGGCUGUAGCAAACAUUUGAGAAUGUUUCCUUCCCUGCUUCAUGUCCAGAUCCCAUUGACAAACUGUCUCACAGCACCUUGCCUCAGGUAAAAGCAGCAGCAGCUUUGGUGCUCCUGAGGUCCAGGCUCUCUCUCCUGUACUGUCCUUUGCCUUUAAGAUGGCCCCAGCAAUCUAGCUUGGAGAUGUGAUGACCAUAAUGCAGUGUUUUCUUACUAGAAUUAACAGAAUGUGAUACCGUACGCAAAAUUAUUCUGAUUUUAUUGUUGAUCUUAAAUGUACUAUUUAUUCAUGCAAGACUUGCCGACAUUUUCUGAAGGUCCCUUACAAUCAACACGCUUUAUACUGUUUUAAUCUUGAAAUUUUAGGGUAUCAACAGCCACAAAUACUUGUAUAAGACAAUUGCAACAGUGUAAUUCUUUUACAUUAGCAAUUAUACAGCUAAGAAGUAAAAAGGACAAACACACCAACGCUGCAUACUGUAUUUUUUUAAAACACAGUAAUAUAUUAUGGUUUCAAACCUCCUCCUCAACUGGAUUUCAAGUACGGGACGGAUUUCAUACUGGGACUUUAAAAGCUACUCUACAAUCUGCUGAGAAUGAAAAUCUGGUUUUUAUACAUUUGGCUUGGCAAAGAAGGACAUACACCAACCACAGGCACCGCCUUUUAGCAUUUCAAAGAAAUCCUUCCACACCUGUGAACUGAACCAUGCAUUUUGCCCUAUUUCUUGUCAAGUUGGAUCAAUUUGCACUGAUGUUGAUUCUGCUACUGGUACAUGGCUACUGAUAUCUAAAUUUAAAGCAUGUUUAGAUAUCUCUAUUUGUAAUAACAUUUGUUACGGUAGUAUAAACAUAGGCAUAGGAAACAACCUGGAGUGUUCUCCUGCCUUUGCAGGCAGACCCCACCAGCGUCGCUGCUACAGAAUCUGCUCUGUUUCAGACAAGUGUGUGAGAAGCACCAGAACAGUCCAAAAAAUUAUUUACCACUUUUUCUUGUGAGUUGAAUAUUCAGUCUGACUGCUGAUUUCAGAUUAAAAAUCCGUCUUUAAGCGGACAGAUAAAAAUGUGCGCUACUGCUAAACAGGAACUCCACCUUCCCUUUCCUUGAGCAGAGCUCCCUGGAGUACAAGCAUUGUCUCAUCUUCAUGGCUCCCCAAGCCCUUUUUCUGUCGCACUCCCCUGUUCUUCCCUUGGUGUCUUCCAUUUCGACGUUUCUCUGUACUGGACCCAGCCCUCUGAGAUGUCUCCCACGCGCCCUCUCUUCCCUGGUUUUCUUUGUGAUCUCCGGUAUUCGUCUCCCUCUGCAUCCCUAUUCCCAUGUGUCCUUCCACCUGUUGUCCUCCUGGACUCGUACUGCCUCAGCACUCUUUCAGUGCCUCAGCAGCCUCCAGCUGCUAUGAGAGCUCAACCCAGUUGGCUAAAGCAAGGAGAGAGUUUCACAUCGGUCCCUUACUUUCCACAUUCUGACACAAAAAAACCCCCGAUCACAGAUAUGAUUAAGGUCAGGUAGACAUCCCAAUAUUCUCCUGAGUUGAGAAUGGUAGAACAGGUAUAAAAAGCUGGAUUAUUACAAUCAUGGUCUUUAUCAAGCCACUGUGCCAUACGCUUCAACUUACUUCUCCCCUUCAUUAAACUUGGCUAGCAACUCUAGUCUUUUUGGUAUUUGGUAUUCUUGUGUCUAGAUGCACACACAAAGGUAAAUGCUAGAAUGAAUUCCAAACUAACUGUACUCACAAAAGAUCACGUAAUGAAAUAAUAGUAAAUAGGUCUAUUUAUGAAUCUAUAUGUAGCUCUAAAGAUCACACUGAGUUGCUGUUAAUACUUUGCUGAGGUGCAAAGCAAUAAUCAAAAUUAAAAUAAUAAAAAAAUAGCUUUACUAUAUUCAGGUUUUGAUAUAAUGCAUUCAUUAUACCUUCUACCGACCAUUUAUAACUUGUAAGCUGCUUCUCAGAUGCCCUUUGAUUCAUGGAAAAGCACUUGCAUGUGGGAAAAAGGAUCAGGAAAAUUAUGGACAAGUCAUCUCUAAAAAAACCAUGAUCUGUUCCUAACUCAUGUCCUCUGCUCUUUCCCCUUCCACACUUCCUGGCUCAAACAAGACAAAGCAGAUGUGGCUCUAUAGGAUCUCUGUAUGCAAAACGCCCAUAAAAUACUCCCACUAUAGAUGUUUCUAUUCUAACAUCCUUGGGUUUAGGAAUUAUCCCCUGAAAGAGAUUCUGGUAUAAACCUGCUGAAGCCAACAGACAAACAGAUCCCUAUCUGAAUUUGGGGCUGUGAUCUAUAAGUCAGAACCAUUAAUCAUCCUUCCUGAUCAUUAAAAAUUAACCUUAACUUAACCUUCAGUGCGUGUCUAGAGACAUGUCGUACCUAGAACUGGUGCAGUUGCUCACGUGUUGGAGUGGCAAUUCCCCUCCAAAAAUCUGGUCUGACCAGUCCUACUUACUCCCUCUCACACUGUCAGCAAGAAGGGAGACCAGCCUUCCUGCUGCUUGGAAUCCAACAUCAUACACUCAUCCAGGAAUACGGGGGAAACUUCUGAGAAAACAAGUAUGCAGGUUAUAAAGAAGAGGAACCGUUGUGGAAUCUGCAAGCUAGAAAUGCUGCUGUUCAGCUCCUGCCAGUAUAUGAACUUUUUGAUGGUGGAAAGGAACUGAAUCAUCUACAGCCUUCCUUAAACAUGUAAGAGAAGGUGAGCUGUCCUACUAGUGAAUUUCAAAACACCGUUCAAAAGUAAAUUUUGGAGAAUGAUUGAUGUCUUCCACCUUGAAAAGACCAAGGCUUUUGUUUCCCCCCUCCAGCAGAAUACAAGUAUUUCUCAGGGAAUCCAGUGGCACUCAUUAGCGUGCUGCGGAGAAGCAGCAGGUAUCUUUUGCGCAAGAAAGGACCAGGGCCUCUACAAGGUCAACUGGCUGUUAAGGAUAUUUUCUACAGCUGUUGAAAGAAAACAAGCUAAGCCAGCAGUCUGGCACUCUGGGAACACUGGCACAUAGCACCACUGCUGAUAAAAGCUGCUUUGGAGUUGGUGAAUGCAGCACUGUAGCAGAGUGACAUUUACCAGCUAAAACACUGAAAGCAUAGCUCACAGUUUCACUGGGAUUAAAUGUCAAGCUGCUGGUUAAAACAAAAGGUGAUGUGCACAUGUGAGCUGAAGACUGUGCUGCUCCUCAGCGCUGGGGCUGCCUCCUGGAGUAUAUUUAGGACAUCACUCAAGCCUCCUUAGUCCUGAUAAUGCUGCCUUCCCCGCAGUGUUAAACAACUGAAGAUAUAGACGGUGCUGAUAAAGAUCUACUAAGAGGCAAAGAUAAGUGAGCACGACCGUGUGGAUGACUAAUUACCAAACAAGAUUUCUAUGAACGGGAAAUACUUCUGGUCACUUUACUAAACUUUCAUCCUUGGUGCACAAUGAGAGAAGAGACUGCCACGUUCAAUUUCAAACUAAGUCAUCCCCACUUGAUUCAGCAGCUUGCGGUGGGCAAGGAACCUUUGUCUUCCAAAGCAAAAGCAGGGUAAGCAAACUUAAAGAUGUUAGUCCUAAGUGAGCCUGUUGCUCACCUUAGCAGCAGUUUCUUUACAUUAAAAGGGUUUAUUCUGAUAAUCAUUGGUACCGAGUCCUGCAACCUGUUGUCCCAGUAGCGCUGCUGAAGACAACAGAAAUGUCAGAAGUGCACCAUAUGAAAUCAAUACCACCUGAAUAAUUAAUUUACUCUGUGUUGUGCUACUUGCUCAGAAGGACUAAGAUUUUUGUAGUCAGAACAUUCAUUUCCAUUGUACUUUUUCCAAUUUCUAAACAAAAAAAUAGAAUCUUUCUACUCAUUUCACUGGACAUCAGAUAACACAGAUAAAUCACCAGGCUCAUACUGCUGUCUGUUAAUCAUACAGCAAACUAGCUCAAAGCAAGCAAACAUCUGAUAAAAAAGAUAAACAAGAUAUGUCAUGAUUUUUUCAUGAUUUUUAGGAGUUCAGCAUUUGCUCAGGUCAUCAACCAGAAAACUCGCUGACAUUAAGAGGUAUUGCAUACUUUUAAAAUGUGUAACUAAUGCUUAAUUUUAAAAUCCAACCAAAACACAGUCUGGAAACACACAAAAAUAAUACAAUUUCAACUAAGGUUUUCUUAGAUAAAACAUUUUUGGACAUUAUUUCUUUCCAAGAAAUACAUUAUGUCACUGAGCAAAAUGCCAAAGUAAAAAAUUAAAGAGAAAAACCCCCACCAUUUUUCUGCCACAGUAUUUUUAUAGCUACAAAUAACACUUCAAUGGCUAGCUGGUUUACAGAAUUAGGAAAGAUUUAUUUUCAGCAUGCUUUUCUUGAGCAAGAGAUAGCCUUCUUUGUACAGUAACUUUGAGUACGAUUAUGUUCCCUCAUUGCUUUAAAUAGGCUAACAUGUCAACAGAAGGUAAAGACCACUUUAAGAGAAAGUAAAGAAUGUGGUAGUGAAAACUGGUAGCAAGAAUGGCAUUUGCUAUUUUUACUUUGGUAUACUUAGGUAUAUUUACUUUGAAUUUUCAGUGUCUCUCUAAUACAGCACUAAUCAAUAGUGUUUAUUUAGUUCACUUUUAGAAACAUUAAAUCUAAAGAACAGCACCUUUAGCUGAACUUUAGUGCAAGCAAUUAUCAAUACCUAGAAAACCAAAAGCACCUGCUGAUCUUAAAAAUACCCUUUUAAAGAAUCACUUUCAAAUUGCCUUGAAUUAGAAUGUCAUGUUAAGAUAAUUUUAUCUUACAAGAGCAUAUUUAACA